rnacentral:rRNA from 1 species
UGUAUGUAGAUUUUAUUGUUGUUUCAAAGAUUAAGCCAUGCAUGUCUAAAUAUAAGCAAUUAUACAGAGAAACUGAGAAUGGCUCAUUAUAUAAGUUAUUGUUUAUUUGAUAGUACCUUUAUACUUGGAUAACCGUGGUAAUUCUAGAGAUAACACAUGCUAAAAAUCCCGACUUUGGAAGGGAUGUAUCUAUUAGAUUAAAAAACAAUGCCCUUCGGGGCUCAUUGGUGAUUCAUGAUAACUACUAGAAUCGCAUGGCCUUGCGCCGGCGAUGGAUCAUUCGAAGAUUCUUCCCUAUCAACUUGCGAGUUUGAGUUUGAAC